rnacentral:rRNA from 1 species
CUCAAAUAAUGUGUGACC